CUUGCUAAUAUUUCAAAAGAAUCUAGUAAAGACUGUGUUUAGAUCCCCGUGAAAGCUGCAAAGGCAACUGGAAUGUCAAUGUCUUUAGUUUUGGCUGGAGUCACAGAGAGGAGGUGAGGGUACCUCGUCCCAAGCUGCUCUGGGGGCUCAGGUCAUAUCUGUGACUUGUUGAAGAAAGGGGGGCAGAGCAGCAACCAGAGUCCAGCGCACGCUUCAUUGUGACGUGUGGGGACACAGUGAAGAAGAAGGACCCGGAAGCAGCAGGCUGAUCCUUGGGUUGAUGCCUCCUGCGUGACGGGCCCUGCGCUGGGCGGUGGUGUUGGGACGGCCAAGACACCAGUUGCCCCGGCGCACCGCAGAGACAGGCACACAACUGAAGACAUCGACGGCUGAGUCAAGAAGUGAAGGCGCUCUGGCUGAACUCAAGUUUCUGCUCCUCCCUCCAUGCUGCCCUGCGGACCUGAGCUAUUCU